CCCCGUUUGCCAACUUGUUUUAAUAAUAAAUUUCAGGUUGUGUAAAGUGAUAUUGUCAAUUUAACAGAAUGUUAAAUGAACAAUAUUGUGGUGAUUAAAAUUCAUUUGUUUUUCGCAUCCUUUAUGAUUUUCGAAUUGCUGAUAUCUAAAAUGUUAUUAGAUAAUAAAAAUUAAUUUUAAGAAAUUGAGUUUGAUAUAAUUGUGUCUUAGUUCCGUAUUGAGUCGUCUUUAAGCAUCACACGUUAUAUCGGAUCUAAGAUCAGAGGAAAAAUCUGAAAAUAAGAUUCAUCAUCAACGAAGAUUAUUUAGUCAAAUAGUAAAACUUUGAUGCAAUUAAGUAAGAUUUAAUUUUUUGUUUGAUUAUGAUCACUUACUUUGUAUUCCACAACCAAAUUUAUAUAUUACAGUUUGUAUAAUGAUUGA
rnacentral:lncRNA from 1 species